rnacentral:rRNA from 2 species
ACCCGAUGUUUCCGACGGGCCGCAUGACGUGUCGGGCAAAGAUUUAUCAGUAUGAGAUGGCGAUGCGUCCCAUUAGCUUGUUGGCGGGGUAACGGCCCACCAAGGCGUCGAUGGGUAGGGGUUCUGAGAGGAAGGUCCCCCACAUUGGAACUGAGACACGGUCCAAACUCCUACGGGAGGCAGCAGUGAGGAAUAUUGGUCAAUGGACGAGAGUCUGAACCAGCCAAGUAGCGUGCAGGAAGACGGCCCUCCGGGUUGUAAACUGCUUUUAGUUGGGAAUAAAGUGCAUCACGUGUGAUGUUUUGUAUGUACCAUCAGAAAAAGGACCGGCUAAUUCCGUGCCAGCAGCCGCGGUAAUACGGAAGGUCCGGGCGUUAUCCGGAUUUAUUGGGUUUAAAGGGAGCGCAGGCGGGCGUUUAAGUCAGUUGUGAAAUGCGGCGGCUCAACCGUCGAACUGCAGUUGAUACUGGACGCCCUGAGUGUACACAGGGAUGCCGGAAUUCAUGGUGUAGCGGUGAAAUGCUCAGAUAUCAUGAAGAACUCCGAUCGCGAAGGCAGGCGUCCGGGGUGCAACUGACGCUGAGGCUCGAAAGUGCGGGUAUCAAACAGGAUUAGAUACCCUGGUAGUCCGCACAGUAAACGAUGAGUACUCGCGGUUGGCGAUACAAUGUCAGCCGCCAAGCGAAAGCGUUAAGUAUUCCACCUGGGGAGUACGCCGGCAACGGUGC